UGGGGAAUAUUGCACAAUGGGGGAAACCCUGAUGCAGCGACGCCGCGUGAGCGAUGAAGGCUUUCGAGUCGUAAAGCUCUGUCCUAUGGGAAGAUAAUGACGGUACCAUAGAAGAAAGCCCCGGCUAAUUACGUGCCAGCAGCCGCGGUAAUACGUAAGGGGCGAGCGUUGUCCGGAAUUAUUGGGCGUAAAGAGUGCGUAGGCGGCAAAUUAAGUCAGAUGUGAAAACUAAGGGCUCAACCCAUAGAUUGCAUCUGAAACUGAUAUGCUUGAGUCACGUUGAGGAAAGUGGAAUUCCUAGUGUAGCGGUGGAAUGCGUAGAUAUUAGGAGGAAUACCGGUGGCGAAGGCGACUUUCUGGACUUGAACUGACGCUGAGGCACGAAAGCGUGGGGAGCAAACGGG
rnacentral:rRNA from 1 species